rnacentral:rRNA from 1 species
CGACCGCUGGCGGCGUGCUUACCACAUGCAAGUCGCACGGCAAAGCCCUGCUUUUGUGGGGUGCUCGAGUGGCGAACGGGUGAGUAACACGUGAGUAACCUGCCCUUGACUUUGGGAUAACUUCAGGAAACUGGGGCUAAUACCGGAUAGGAGCUCCUGCUGCAUGGUGGGGGUUGGAAAGUUUCGGCGGUUGGGGAUGGACUCGCGGCUUAUCAGCUUGUUGGUGGGGUAGUGGCUUACCAAGGCUUUGACGGGUAGCCGGCCUGAGAGGGUGACCGGCCACAUUGGGACUGAGAUACGGCCCAGACUCCUACGGGAGGCAGCAGUGGGGAAUAUUGCACAAUGGGCGGAAGCCUGAUGCAGCAACGCCGCGUGCGGGAUGACGGCCUUCGGGUUGUAAACCGCUUUCGCCUGUGACGAAGCGUGAGUGACGGUAAUGGGUAAAGAAGCACCGGCUAACUACGUG